GUUAUAGUUUAUUUGAUAUAUUAAAUGGAUAACUGUAGAAAAACUAGAGCUAAUACAUGCCGAAGCCGCAAGGUUGUAUUUAUUAGAUAUUCCAAUUAGGUGAAUCAUGAUAACUUUUCAAAUCUCGGUUUUGCCGAGAUAAAUCAUCCAAGUUUCUGCCCUAUCAUGCUUUCGAUGGUAGUGUAUUGGACUACCAUGGCUUUCACGGGUAACAGGGAAUUAGGGUUCGAUUCUGGAGAAGGAGCCUGAGAAACGGCUACUACAUCUACGGAAGGCAGCAGGCGCGUAAAUUACCCAAUCCUGACUCAGGGAGGUGGUGACAAGAUAUAACAACGCAAUUUAAUUGUGAUUGUAGUGAGGGUUUUCCAAACCGAACCACUAGUACGAUUAGAGGGCAAGUCUGGUGCCAGCAGCCGCGGUAAUUCCAGCUCUAAUAGCGUAUAUUAAAGUUGCUGCAGUUAAAAAGCUCGUAGUUGGAUUUCAAGGAUUGUGUACUCUUCUAGGGUAUGCACCCUACUAGUCUUUGACUGUUACUGUGAGAAAAUUAGAGUGUUUAAAGCAGGCAAUUGCAAGAAUACAUUAGCAUGGAAUAACGAAUGUAUCUAGAAUCUUGGUUAAUUCUAGGUUUCGAUUAAUAGAGACAGUUGGGGGCAUUAGUAUUUAAUUGUCAGAGGUGAAAUUCUUGGAUUUGUUAAAGACUAACGUAUGC
rnacentral:rRNA from 1 species